ACACUUUACCUUAAUGAAUUCGGGAUCGGACUGAGAUGCUGAUUCAACGUUCUAUCUUUACUAAACCUACGCAAGGAAACAAACCGUACGCUGAGUAUGGUAUACUCAGUGGUAUUUCUAUAAUCCGAACACUUGAUAAUAUAACAAUUAAACUUAAAAUCACAAUGAUAAAUAUAACCAUUCAUUUAUUUAUUUUAUAGAUAAGUUUCAUUUACUUACCAUAAAAAUUCUAUACAAGCCAUAUAACAAACACAACAACAUAUUUGCUCAAUUCUUUUCAUUUGCUUACUGUAUAACUUCUUUCAAUAUAUUCACAAUUCACUUGUAUUCACACUUUACUUCUUAACAAUAUACCAUUUUAAUUCAUUCUAACAUCAAUCAUCAUCCAUUUGAACUUCACUCAUUUCAUGAACCUUUUGGUUCAUGUUUUCAAUCUCAUAUCUCAAUUUCAAUUCUCAAUUCAAUUUCUCAUUUCAUUCCAAUAGUUCAAUCAAUCAAAUUCACUCGAUUUAUCUUUUCACUUAUUUACCACUAUUAACAAACCUGAACUUUGACGGAUACACGGAUUCCAACCCAAACACACCAGUACGGCACAUUGUGCCUAAAACGGUACAUAGUACCUGAUCAGUAUACGACACAUAAAGUGCCUAAAACGACACACGAGGUGCCUGAUACGACACACGAGGUGCCUGAAAUACGACACAUAAAGUGCCUAAUCGGUAAAGCUAGCAAAUCCCCGUACACUUUCAGAUCCUAUGGCAUGCCAAUUAUAUCCGACUUAGCCCGACUAGUUAAUAGGGUAUUUGUAACACCCCCUACCCGUAUCCGUCGCCGGAAUAGAGUACGAGGCAUUACCGAGGAGUACAAAAACACUUACAGAUAAUUUAAAUAUAUUUUCAUAACAACUUGUCUCGAUUUCAUACUAUUUCAUAUUUAAGCUUUACUCACCAAAGUAUUUGAAAUAUCAUCUUUAUGCAAAUAGCACACAUGAGGUACAUAAUUCCAUAGUUAAGAAUGAACACAUUUAUCAAACAUAUUCCAUAUUCAUAUAUCAAUGUCUUACAUUUCCAUAAAUCAAUAACUGUCAUUUUUCUUGUUUUUCAGAUAAUUAUGUGUAACCAUUGAUAAGCAUGUAAUUCACUGUUUCUUCCUGUCAAUGACAAUUUCAAAUGACAAAUUCGUGUGAAUCAGCUCAACCUCAUUAGGUGUUUAAAUUCUGUCACUUUGAUUCACAUACUCAUAAUUUACUAACAUAUAUUGUCAAACACAAUCUCUGAAUGAUAAAAAUCACAUAAUUGAGCUCAAUAAUAAUGAUAACAUUACUUACAUUUCUUUUUCCACAUGUUACAUUUACGACUUACCAACUUGUCCAUCCAAGGAAUAGCUUACGGAUUUGAGUACAUCAUGAUCUGAAGCCCGAAAUCUAGCUGAAGCACAUAAGUGCUAAACGGCAGCCCGAAGGCUAAUUGAAGCACAUAAGUGCUAAACGGAAGCCCGGAGGCUAACUGAAGCACAUAAGUGCUAAACGGAAGCCCGGAGGCUAACUGAAGCUCAUCAGAGCUGAACUGAAACCCCAAAAGGGUUAACUGAAACUCAUAUGAGUUAACGGAAGCUCGUACGAGUUAAACGGAAAGCAAACACGAGAAUUCGUAACAAAUGCUGAAUCUCGGUUUACUUGGGUAAUUUACCGUCAAUUCAUCUUUUUCACUGAAAGAUUAUACUCAUUUCCUGCGUUCCGUUCCUCCGAAAUUCUCAGUUUAAUUUCAUAACUUUUGUACAUAAUUUACUUAUUUUCAACAAUUAACAUACAUAAAUAUUAAUCACCAUUCAUAAAAUAAUAUUGAAAUUUAAUAAUAUUAACAAAUGGUUACUAAAUUUAGUUAUAUAAACUCACAAGUUCGAUUUUUGUAUUAUAGCGAUAAUCAUAAUUUCAUAAUAAAUAUUCCAAAUAAAAUAUUAUAUCGUUUCUAAUUCAACACUUAUUGAUUAUAAUCGGGCAUGUAAUCAAAAUUUAUACACGAUUCAUUCAUAUAUUUUUGUAUAUUUUUCUCCUCCUCCUCUCCAUCCACAUCCUUAGUAUAAACAACACACUUGUAGGUAACAUUAUCUAUAAUUUUCACUAUCUAUUUAUGUGAAUAUUCAAGUUGUCCAUCUGUGUCAUAGUUACUAAAUUAUUUUUAUCUUGAGCUACAGAACUCCAAAUUAAGAUCUAUGAAUUUUCCCAGAAACUAGAUUCACAUAUAUUCUUACCAUAAAAGUUUCAUAAUUUUUGGUUGGGCCAAUUAAUACAGUUUAUUCAUUGAAGUCUCCCCUGUUCUGCUGUCUGAUAGUUCCGACCUUCUUCACUAAAAAUUAAUUAUCUUCUCGUACAAGAUUCGAAUGAUGUCCUCGUUUGUUUUUCUUGAAAAUAGACUCAUUCAGAAUUCUAAACAUAUAAAUUUAAGCCUCUAAUUAUUUUUAUCCAAUUUUUGAUGAUUUUCCAAAUUCAAAAAAGGGGAACCCGAAAUCAUUCUGAUCUUGUCUCACAAAAGUUAUUGUAUCUCGUGAUUUAAAAUUCCAUUGCUUACAUAAUUUCUUUUAUAAGAAACUAGACUCAAUAAGCUUUAAUUUCAUAUUUUAUUCAUCCUCUAAUUCCAUUUCUACAAGUUUUGGUGAUUUUUCAAAGUUAGACUUCUGCUGCUGUCCAAAACAGUUUUAGUGCAAAAUGAUGAUUUCCAUUUUGCCCCAAAUUUUACAAUUCAUACAAUUCAGUCCUUGCUCAAUUAACCGCUCAAUUAAGAUAAUUUUCUCAAUUAAUACUUUUCCUAAACAUUAUAAGUUAUUUCACAACUAUUUAAAUUCAGAAUUUCCACAUAAAACUCUAAAUUCAAACUCUUUUACAAUUAGGUCCCAAACAUUCAAUUUCUAUUCAAUUCUUACAAUAAAAUCAACAUAUAAACAAUUUAAAACUCUAAUUCCAUGCCAAAUCAUCAUAUGCUUCCAGAAAAUAUGUAUAUAAACUUUCAAUUUCUUUCAUAGAAUCAAAAACUAAUGAAUUCAACAAGUGGACCUAGUUGUAAAAGUCACAAAAACACAAAAAUUUCAAGAAAUAAUCAAGAAUUGAACUUACUUGGAGUAAAAAAUAUGAAAAACCAGCUUAAUAGAACUCCUCCAUGGCGUUUUUCUGAUGAGAAUGCAGAAAAAUAAAGAGAAAUCUAGAUAAUUCCAUAUUAGUCCUAGCUUUAUUAAGUAAAUUUUGCAAUUUUCCAAUUUUACCCUUAAUUCUCCUUAUUUUCUUGCUGAUUUCAUGCCCUUGCCGUCCAGCCCAAAUAGACCUUGGGUCUAUUUUCCUUUUAAACCCUCUUUCUUUUAUUAAUUAAGCUAUUUAAUCAUUUUCCACAAUUUUGCAUUUGAUACAAUUUAGUCCUUUUUGUUCAAUUAACUAUCAGAACUUUAAAAUUUAUUGACGAAACUUUAAUACUAAUAUAUUAACACUCCAUAAAUAUUUAUAAAAAUAUUUAUAAAAAUAUUUAUGGCUCAAUUUAAAAUUAUCGAGGUCUCGAUACCUCGUUUUCGAUUCUAAUUAUUUUAAUAUUUAUUUUUAGUACACUAUUCACUAUUUUCAAUUUUUUUUCCUAACUUCACAUUUAAUUUAUGAUCACUAAAUUAAUAAUAUUUCCUACUCAUUUGUCGGAUUUAGUGAUCUCGAAUCACUGUUCCGACACCACUGAAAAUUAGGCUGUUACAGUAUUUCAUUCACUUUCUCAAUUUAAUAAUUCUUUCAUCAAUAUCUCAUUCAGAUAAUUACAUAUAUUUACCCAUUUUCACAAUUCAUACAAUUUCAUUCAAUUCAACAAUAGAUUUCAAUUAUUCACAUUAAUUCAUAAUUCAAUACAAUUCAAUUCAUUUUUCAAUAUCAAAUAUUCAAAUAUCACAAUCUCAUAUAUUCAUAUCAAUUUCCUCAUAUUUCCAAUCAAUAUAUUUUUCAAUAUAACAUUCAUUCAAUAUUCAAAUUUCUACAUAAAUCAUAUAUAUUAUAUAAUUCAAUCAAUAUAAAUUCAAUCAAAAUAAUUUCAAUCAAUAUAAAUUCAAUAAAACAGAUAUUCAUAAAUCAAUUCAAUAUAAAUUUAUCACACACUAAAUCAAUUCAUUUCAAUUAUAAAGACACAAUACAAAUAAUUCCCAUCUUAAUUAUUUAUCAUAAUAUUUAUCCAAAAUUCAAUUAUCAUAAUUGCAUAAUAUCUCAUUCACACACACACACACAUAUAUAUAUUUAUAAUAUAUAAUUCAAUUUAAUUCAAUCAAUAUAAAUUCAUCACAUACCAAAUUAAUCCAUGUCCAUUAUAAACACAAUAAUUCUCACUUCAACAUUUAUUAAAUGCAUUGAAUAAAAAAAAUAUAACAAUUAAUAACUAGGUUCGGAUUAUAGAAAUACAAACCGUAUUUUCUCGAGCUAACUCCCUUUGUCUUUGCCAUUUUUUUUCCUUGCUUAGCCGAGGUUUCCCGAGACAACAUUAGCAAAUUAACUUGGAACCUUUAAAACCUUAUUUUUUCCUUUUUCUUUUCUUCCUUUCUCCCUUCUCUGUUUCGUCCCC
rnacentral:lncRNA from 1 species